CUAGGCUUGCGCUUCAUGCAGGUUCCGGUUGGUUUGUAAUGUCGGGGAUGGUAUAUUGUUUAAAUCAGAUACAGUGUUGUCACGAAUGGCGCCCGUGUUAAAAUGAUCUUGAGUGUUUGCAUUAUAUAUUGGAAUGUUGUUGCGGUGGUCUUGACUGAACGAGACAUUGGCCAACCUCCGCAAUGUCAUGGGGCAGCAUUUCACAUUGGUGUAGAUGAGGUCCCAGCCUUUUACAAGGGAACGACAUUCGGUACCGAUGCAAACAAGGUUUCUACACGACAUCAUUCAGUGGGUCCAUGAAUGAAUGCCAGGACGGACACCGGUGAACUUGCAGUUUACGGGAGCGCAGCAGCGCAGUCGGCAUUUUGCAGGCUACCUUCCCCACUUGCUGUAGCAACCGAUCAUCAUGGAUGAAUGAUUUUAUCGUUUGCUUGCUCAUACGGUAGCCAAAUGAUCACGUCUACAAUUUUAAAUCAAAAUAUUUACUCAUAACUGAGAUAAUUAAGUUUGAAAAAUGCUGCGUUCGAAAAGUCACCAAGUGUAGGACAACUCCAUAUAAUUCCAAUUUAAUUUCAAUUUCAUCAUGCUCGGUGGGAUUUUACACCAGGAAAAUAUAACAUUAGUUAAGAAAACAAUAUGGCUCGUAUGAAUAUUCAUGAGCGCAAUGUUGCACGGCCGGCUGGUCAUUAAGACAUGUAAGUUAACAGGUAAGUAAAGCAGGGUAAUUGUAUUCUAAAACAAAUUGUUAUAUCACAUAGAUUAGACAUUGAACGCAAACAUAAAUUGUUAUAUCACAGAGAUUAGACAUUGAACGCAAACAUAAGGUCAUCGGAAAGUACGGGACAUUCUUAACCAAACCGGUUACAACGAUGUAUGGCUAUUUCUCGAAUCUGUGAACUCUAAUCAAUUUAUCCCAUUACUUCAAAACAGAUUACGAGACCAGUAUAUCACUAACUGGAAUAGAAGUGUCACAUCAUCUAGUUCAAUGAUUUUAUAUAAAGAAUUAAAACCAGUAUUCGAAAAAUCGGCUUAUCUUGAUAUAGUUGAAAAUAAAAACACAGGAAUAGUACAGCUAAAUUACGUUUGUCAUCUCACAAAUUAUUUAUUGAAACGUGUAGACACCAGAACAUUGUUAGAGAUCAACGUAAAUGUAUUUUAUGCAACCUUAAUGAUAUCGAGGAUGAAUAUCACUUUGUUCUUACAUGUCCUUACUAUGCCGAUGUUAGGAAAACAUUAAUUCCAAAGUAUUACAGAUGUCGCCCAAAUAUGUUAAAGUUUAUCGAACUACUUAAUAGUUCAAAGAAAAAUGUGUUGAGAAAACUAGCAAUGUUUUGUUUAAAAGGCUUUGAAAUGCGAGAAAAUGUCUUAUAUAUGUAGUAUAUAUAUUAUAUAUCUUCCAUAAAGCCACUAAGCUUAUAGUAUUGUUAUACUUGUUGCAGUCAUUAAACAACGUUUUUACAUUAUGUGGUCACUCAGUAUUAACCUCUUCCAUGUGACAUUAUCACUUAAACAUGUUGUAUUUAAUUUCUUUUUGAAUCGAUCUUCCUUCGAAAUGAUGUAUGUUUUGUAUUUACUUGUAACGCAUGCUGUUAUUGUAUAUGUAUGUUAACGACGAUGUAGCUGUAUAUGCUUAAGUCAAAUAAAAGAGUCUGUUCUGUUCAGUUUUCUUCUGUUAAUGUGUUUUGUUUUCAAAAUAUUGUUUUACGAUAUACGAUUUUGAGAAUUUUACUUUUUCAGUGGUUUUGUUAUGUUUUAUAGUGUUAUGUUGAUCAAUUAUAAUUAAAAUAACAUGAAGUAUUA